GCUAUUUUGGCAGAGAAGUGCAGUGGAUUUAGAAUCUACGAAUAUAGGGAUAUCUAUAUAUAGUA
rnacentral:tRNA from 1 species